GUGCCAGCCGCCGCGGUAAUACCGGCAGCACGAGUGAUGACCGAUAUUAUUGGGCCUAAAGCGUCCGUAGCUGGCCGGGCAAGUCCGUUGGGAAAUCCACGUGCUCAACGCGUGGGCGUCCGGCGGAAACUGUUCGGCUUGGGGCCGGAAGGCCUGAGGGGUACGUCCGGGGUAGGAGUGAAAUCCCGUAAUCCUGGACGGACCACCAAUGGGGAAACCACCUCAGGAGAACGGAUCCGACAGUGAGGGACGAAAGCCAGGGUCUCGAACCGGAUUAGAAACCCCAGUAGUCC
rnacentral:rRNA from 1 species